UAAGAUGAAAGCCAUACCUUUUUGGUCAA
rnacentral:piRNA from 1 species